rnacentral:rRNA from 1 species
UACAGAGGUCUCAAGCGUUGUUCGGAUUCAUUGGGCGUAAAGGGUGCGUAGGCGGCGCGGUAAGUCGGGUGUGAAAUCUCGGGGCUUAACUCCGAAACUGCAUUCGAUACUGCCGUGAUUGAGGACUGGAGAGGAGAUUGGAAUUUACGGUGUAGCAGUGAAAUGCGUAGAUAUCGUAAGGAAGACCAGUGGCGAAGGCGGGUCUCUGGACAGUUCCUGACGCUGAGGCACGAAGGUCAGGGGAGCAAACGGG